GUCUUCUUGAAUUUAUAGGAAGUCUGGCCUGCCCAGUGAAACAUUUUUAAACGGCCGCGGUAUUUUGACCGUGCAAAGGUAGCAUAAUCAUUAGUCUUUUAAUAGGAGGCUGGAAUGAAGGGUUUAACGAAGUAAAAGCUGUCUCAUAAAUAAUAAUUUAAAAUUUAAUUUUUAAGUUAAAAGGCUUAGAUGUAAUUGGAAGACGAGAAGACCCUAUAGAGCUUUAUGAUUAAAUUUUUAGUUUUUAUUUGAUUAUUAUUUUUAAUUAUAAAUUUAAUUGUUUUGUUGGGGUGACAGUAAAUAUAUAUUUAACUUUUAUAUUUAAUAUACAUUGAUUUAUGAAUAUUAGAUCCAUUAUUAUUGAUCAUUAGAAUAAGUUACCUUAGGGAUAACAGCGUAAUCCUCCUUGGGAGUUCAAAUUUACAGGAGGGAUUGCGACCUCGAUGUUGGAUUAAGAUAAUAUUUAGGUGCAGUAGCUUAAAUUAUAGGUCUGUUCGACCUUUAAAUUCUUACAUGAUCUGAGUUCAGACCGG
rnacentral:rRNA from 1 species